UCUCGUCUCUCCCUCCUCCCUUCCCGUCGCCUCCUCCUCUUCCCCGUCCCUCACGGCCUCCUCGCCCCCUCCGCCUUUAGCACCUCUUCCUCGCCUUCCUCUCCUCCUUCCCUGCCUCCGGUUCCAUGCAUGGAUGGAUGAACCCGGAGAGAUGUAGCCGGUGGAUGUCGCGACGGACGGGGAGGCGAUGGUGAAGGGGAGUUUCGGUCAAGUGGAAUCUGAUGGGUUGCAGGGCGAGGAGCAGGGAGUAGCAUGGCGUAGAUACAGAAUAUCGGCCUCUCCCCACGACCCACCUCUCCCACCAGAGCACAACUGGUCAUCUAGGGUUUGGAUGGGUCUGGGUUCCUACAAUGAUGGCAGCAGAGGCGACAAAGACCAUUUUGAUUACAAUUCCUUGUGUGAGCUCCUCCCUCUAAUUCAUGUCCUCCUAAUUCAUUUUUUUCAGUCAUCUAGGGUUUGGAUGGGUCUGGGUUCCUACAAUGAUGGCAGCAGAGGCGACAAAGACCACUUUGCAACCUCGCCGAACUGUGUUACUGAACUGAAAGUUUAGGGACGGCAGUAGUUCUACCACCAAUGGUGUUGCAUGUAAGCUGGAUGUUCUCAUUGUUCUGUUGGCUCUGAUCGGUGAUGCAGGAUGUGAGGUACAACUAUCAAAGUGACAUUAAUUUUGGUUUUGCUUCCUAUCCGCAGCCUCUUCUACACUAGAAAAGGAAAACACUCGACGAUCUGGCUCUGUCUUAGGUAUAUGCUCCCUCGCCCGGAAGAUCCGCUCUCUCCCAUCUAUGCAUCACGGCAGCACUUCAGCUCCUCUUGUGGAUUCUCACCAGAUCAAGCCACCUCACUCACCUUCAGUUGUCAGGACCUCACCGGCAGAUCCCUCAGCUAUCAGGGAAAGUAGCCAUCAGCGGAGAUUGAGGGUGCCUCUCCGGCAAGAAUGCUCGUGUCGUGGUGGUUUCCCACCAGCAGAAUGGGGGAGACGGUGUCCUCUGCAGCUAGGUCUACUUGUUGGCGACCUCACCGUCACCAGCCCAUCUGCAGCCUACUUGAAUGGAUAUGGUUCCUGAGAGACCAUUUCUUAUGCAUCAGAUCCUGAAGGUGGAUGAUGCUUGUUUAGAUAUCUAUGAUUCCAAAUUAUUCAAAACAGUUCAUGUUAUAUUGGAUGCUAUUUUAUUGAGAGUGGCUUCGAACAAUAUGGCAUGACCAUAUUUGUUUUCUCUUUGGCCAAUAAUGAAAUGAUCUGUGUGCAUAUAAAAUGGUUAUCGAUACCAUAAUUCUUGGUUUUAAUU